CAGUAGCCGCGGGAAUACGGAGGGAGCUAGCGUUGUUCGGAAUUACUGGGCGUAAAGCGCACGUAGGCGGCUUUGUAAGUUAGAGGUGAAAGCCUGGGGCUCAACUCCAGAAUUGCCUUUAAGACUGCAUCGCUUGAAUCAUGGAGAGGCGGGUGGAAUUCCGAGUGUAGAGGUGAAAUUCGUAGAUAUUCGGAAGAACACCAGUGGCGAAGGCGGCCCGCUGGACAUGAAUUGACGCUGAGGUGCGGAAGCGUGGGGAGCAAACAGGAUUAGAUACCCGCGUAGUCCCUGUCUCUUAUAC
rnacentral:rRNA from 1 species